GCUUACGGCACAACCUCCCUGAGCAGCCCGAUCUCGUCUGAUCUUCGGAAGCUAAGCAGGGUCGGGCCCGGUUAGUACUUGGAUGGGAGACCGCCUGGGAAUACCAGGUGCUGUAAGCC
rnacentral:rRNA from 1 species